AUUGACUAGUCCCAAAUAGGACGAAACGCGCGUCCUGGAU
rnacentral:hammerhead_ribozyme from 1 species